rnacentral:rRNA from 1 species
GUGAACGCUGGCGGUAGGCCUAACACAUGCAAGUCGAACGGCAGCACAGUAAGAGCUUGCUCUUACGGGUGGCGAGUGGCGGACGGGUGAGGAAUACAUCGGAAUCUACUUUUUCGUGGGGGAUAACGUAGGGAAACUUACGCUAAUACCGCAUACGACCUACGGGUGAAAGCAGGGGAUCUUCGGACCUUGCGCGAUUGAAUGAGCCGAUGUCAGAUUAGCUAGUUGGCGGGGUAAAGGCCCACCAAGGCGACGAUCCGUAGCUGGUCUGAGAGGAUGAUCAGCCACACUGGAACUGAGACACGGUCCAGACUCCUACGGGAGGCAGCAGUGGGGAAUAUUGGACAAUGGGCGCAAGCCUGAUCCAGCCAUACCGCGUGGGUGAAGAAGGCCUUCGGGUUGUAAAGCCCUUUUGUUGGGAAGGAAAAGCAGCAGGUUAAUACCCCGCUGUUCUGACGGUACCCAAAGAAUAAGCACCGGCUAACUUCGUG